AUGCAGGGGGAGCUAGCUUGCUGAGAGGAGAUAAUAGAUCUCGACCCUUAACCUGAUUUGGAUAAUGCCAACGUAGGGAAAUUAUUAAUUAU
rnacentral:ncRNA from 1 species